rnacentral:rRNA from 2 species
GACGGAGGGGGCUAGCGUUGUUCGGAAUUACUGGGCGUAAAGGGCGCGUAGGCGGAUUAGUAAGUUGGGAGUGAAAGCCCGGGGCUUAACCUCGGAACUGCUUUCAAAACUGCUAGUCUAGAGUGAAGUAGGGGGUGAUGGAAUUCCUAGUGUAGAGGUGAAAUUCUUAGAUAUUAGGAGGAACACCGGUGGCGAAGGCGGUCACCUGGACUUCAACUGACGCUGAGGCGCGAAAGCGUGGGGAGCAAACAGGAUUAGAUACCCUGGUAGUCCACGCUGUAAACGAUGAGUGCUAGAUGUCGGGAAUUUAUUCUCGGUUUCGCAGCUAACGCAUUAAGCACUCCGCCUGGGGACUACGAUCGCAAGAUUA